ACAGCCGGUCCCAAGCCCGGAUUAAGGAGGAGGGAAGGUGUCAAUUGUUCAAUUAGUCAAUCUGUUCUUUUUUAAUCAAUAGAAAUGAUUUCUGGAGCUGCCUUUGACUGUAACGAACUUAUUAUCCCGCUUCUUCAGUGAGAAAGGAUUCACCAAUGUUUUUGGUGAUUUAAGGUGCAGUCUCUUACAUAUGCUGCAAUUUAUUUGACGAUCCAUCUUCACACAAAAUAUUGUUUCGUUAUUGAUGGUUUCCAACUCGAUGUUUAUAGAGGUUUGGUGUUUAGCCUGGCAGCGUAUGGAUAUGUUUUGUCAGGGUUUGUUUUCUACAGAGUUGAUGACCCAGUAUAUAUCCUCAAAAGAUAGCUGAUACUCCUUCCCUAGCUGCAGUAUAAUACUCAUCAAUUGUUUGUUAUUUGUUGCUGGUUUUUCUUUUGUUUUGGCUGAAGCGCUGCUGUGUUUUAUGUACAUCUAGGUAUCAGUUUGCAAGGGUAAACUGUUUCAUUGCGUGCAGACUACCUCCGGAAUCUUCUUUCCUUCCAUCUACUCCAAUUUAUUUAUGAUCCACCUUUGCAUUUGAUAAUUGUUUCACGAUUGAUGUCUAUGAAUCAACAUAAUACUCUUCAUUAUUUGCUAUUUGCUUGUGAGGUUUUCAUGAAUGCUGAAGACUACGUGCAAAUACCUGUUUGCUGUGGUGAUCGAACUUCUUAUCAUUGGCAAGAUUUGGAAAUGAUGACAUGUCUGGUCUCUAUGGUUGCUUGCGGACAUGUGCAAAUUUUCAGAAUGGAGGGAUUGUAGUAUUUGCAAUGAAGAGGGAUAGUAUUUUUUUUUCCAAGUCUACUCUAAAUGUAAUGAUGAUCCAACUUUGCAUUUGAAAAAUCUUCCAUUAUUAUCAGACGUCUCACUUAAUAUUCAACUAAAUAAGGGGUUUGUGUUUGCAUUUGCCGCAACCCUUAUAUAUUCUCAUCAUCUUUAAAAAUUUCUUGCCUGCUUGCGACAUAAUAUUCUUUGCUAUUGCUUGUGUGGUUUAAUAUUUUUGUUGCAGAUAUUAUCCAAUUUCAGUUUGCAAUGGUGUAAUUAAACUGAUAUAGAAUGCUGUGCCAGAUGGUAGUGUUUGGCUGAUAAGUCCUUUCAUGUGAGUUCCUGUUCAAACAGUAUUUUAACAGAGAUAGAAGAAUGGAUUCAAAAGCCCUCUUAAUAUCGUGCCACUUACCGUGGGGCAGCAGGUAUUUGCUUCUUUCUUUUUUGGAUAACUGAGAAGUCCCCAAGGGCCAGUUGGCUCAUCGUUUGAAACUCAGUGGAUAAUCGGCAUGUUAUUCUACUAUUUUUUAUUGAACUACCAAGCUUUGGUUAACUUGUGUAUCUUCUUAUAAGCCUUUUACUUUUUUUCUAGGACUACUUUGGAGGCAUGCCAGGUCGCUUCGUGCUUUUUUUAUUGAGCCUUAAUGAGGAGUUUCACAGUCAACCAUUAGCAAGAUGUUUAUUGGCGAUCUCCCAACGACUGCACUCCUUUAGGCCACUUGGUAGAGAGGCAGAAUGGUGGUCAUCUUCUAUAUCUGAAGGUAAUUUGUCUGUUCACAAAGUUGAUGCCUCAAGAAAUUAAAAAAAUAAUCUCAAACUUAGGUUCUUCAACGUGUUUUGAUUCAUCUUCUGUGGAAGUAUGACCUCUAGCAGAUGCUGUAUAAAGACACUAGAAGAGACUUGCAAACCAAAGUGUGUAAGGCAACUCGAAGGGGUCGUUUGGUACGCGGAUUAAAUUAUCCCGGGAUUAUAAUCCCAGGACUAAUUUAUACCGCACGAAAGAUGGGAUAAAAUAAUCCCACAUUUGAUGGGAUGAAGUGGGAUAAGAUGGGAUAUCAUGGAUUAAGUUUGAAAUUAAAUUUAUACUCUGUUUGGUUGGAGGUAUCAACUAAACAGUGGGAUAAAUUUAUACCGCCAACUAAACAGUGGGAUAAAUUUAUACCGCCAACCAAACAGAGUAUAAAUUUAAUCCUAUACUUUAUCCCACCUUCUCCCACCUUAUACCUCGUACCAAACGACCCCUAAGGAAUAUCAGAUUAUUCUCCUCAUAAAUUUGAAAGAAAUUUUAGUUGAGUGGCCUCAUAUUUGUUCUGAUAUAGUUUUUGGAGAUAUUGCUCAUGAGUUUAGGACUCUCUUCUGGACUGCGUUAAUUAAGUUUGCAUUACCAUUAGAAAUAUUCUGGAUUUGAUUGUUUAGGUUGCUGGGGAGUGUAAUUUGAAUCAUUACCAUAUAGUAGUACUUUUUAGGUAGGUGCUGCAGUCAAUUCUCUUUCUAGUUAGAUGAUGAGAAUGAUAAGGCGCCUUCAAUAGUUAGAUGAAGAAUUGGAUGCCUUCUCCUUUUUUCUUUUAAUUUUUUUGUACACCAUUUUGUUACCUACCAUCUCCAUAUAUCAUUUCAAAUAAUGCAGAAACUUUUUUGGUGUAUGUUAUCUAUAGUUGAAUUAUUCCCCCAAGUAUAUCAACUGUUACUGAUAUAUCACUAAUUUAGUGACUCAGUCAAGAUUUCCUCCCCAUGUUAGUUGAAUGCGUUUAAUUAACGUGUCUGAUGCUAGUUUUUAUUUGUGCUGGUUGGUCUUUGACAGCAUAAAAAUGUAAUGUUAUGGACUUCGAAGUGCUUUUUUGCAGAUUGAUAGUGCAACUCUAUUGGGCGCCUAUUUUUCUCUUCUUUUGUCAGUUUGUGCACUACGUCUUCCAGAAUCUCCAUUAACAUCUUGGAUGCCUAAACUUCAAUUUUAUUCAACUUAAUUUUCAGCCUUCAACUUCUUGUGUUUUUAUUUUCUUCUAAAACUGAGCAAUAUGUUCUCUCUUUUCAAGCUUGAGAACAACGGGCCCGCUCUUCUACCUCGGACUUUGAUAAGUCGAUGGAGAUGGCCAUUGACGGCAGUCCCCGAGUCAUCGUGGAUUUCUCGGCCCGGGAUCCAUUACUUGUAUACUUGGCGUUAUGUAUGCUCAUUGCCCAUCCUUCGUUGUACUACUUUUAUCAGUGAACCCGUUACAUCCCGUAUUUUUCAUACAUUACGUCGUGAGUUAGUCGUCAUAAACUUGGAGAGAUAGGCUAUUCCUAAGCUUAUAAGUGAUUAUGACUAUGUUUAGUGAGUGUCAAAAGGGUUAGAGGUUAAUGGAAUCGAAGCGAGUGAAUUUUCGCAAAAUUUCCAACUUAUAGAUCGUACAUUGGAGGUACGGGCAGAUGUUAUAACCCAUACUUUUGGGGUUUACUAGGAGUGCUUAACAUCCUUAAGAAAAUCGUGUUAUGAGGUACUUGAAUCGUAUAAUAGUCGUAUAUUAAGUGUUGAAGUCAAGUAAGUUGCAUAACGUUGGCAAAAGUUAUCGCUAGUUAUGUUGAUAAGCUUACUGAAAUUUGGGUUUGAUAUCACCGAGCUUUUCUCCCAAUAUACUUGGAGUUACGAGGUUGAUCCACCCACCAAGUUGAAGGUCUACGAGUCUAAUUUUCAUCGUAUGCACGUUUUAGCCGGGCUGCGCAGGCAGCCCACUGGGACCCACAUAGGUGGUGGAGAUUAUUUUUGAUGUUAUAAAGUGAUGCAGCCUUUUCCUCUCCUCAUUUUUCAUCCAAAAUAGAACCUUAAGCUUCCUAAAUGCUCCCAAAGCAUUUCUGUAUCAUUCAAGCAAAUCCCACCAAAGUUUUGAGGUAGUUCUUCCUUCGGAAAGAUUGUAGUACUUGUAUAAGCUUAGUUCUCGCUUGUUGUUAUUGAGCUGGAGAUUUCUGUAGGUUGAAGCAAGGUGUCUAAGGGCUGGAUCUUGUUGUUUAAGGUAAGAUCUUCUUCUCCUUCAUGUGUAUUGUUUAGUUUGAGCUUUAGAUGUGCUUAGAUGAUACAAGUUAAUGGUCAAACGUUGUAGUUGAGUAGAGGGUUCUUUAUAGGACGUUUUGGAGUUGUUCUUUGUUGCUUUUGAGGUGCUGGAUGUAUUUUUUUUUUUUUGAUAAUAAAUGUGAAAUAUUACCAUUAACAACUCAAAUUAAUACAUCUCAUAAGCACCUAUAACUACAGUUCGCAAAACACUACAGUUGAGGCCUCUAGUAAACUAGACAGCAGAACAAAAAAAUAACAUAUGAUAGUUACAACUCACUACCCUCUAGUAUUGGAACUCUAAUUACAUAACCUGUGAAGUAAUUGCCUACAUUUAUGUGCUUUCCUACAUGUUUGUAUAUCCUUUAACUUAUGUUUGAGCUCCUUUUUUAUCUGUGCAGUAGCAAAUUCUGUAUUUACUUUCGUGUUUCUGAAUAUCUUCCAAUUCCUUGUCUGCCAUGUGUUAUAGAUCACUGCCCCCAUAUAGCUGUCACUACUUCUUUCUUCAUCUGCUUCCAUUAUCUGCUCUUCAACCAUUGUAAGCUUUGUGUCACUUCCCUGGUCAUCAGUUGAUUGCCUGCCCAUUACUUAGCUCAUUCCUUACCUCACUUAUACACUCACAAUUCACAAACAAGUGCUGCAUUGUUUCUACUGCUCCACCUUCACAAAAGCUGCAUGUAUUGUGUGCCAGUGAUAUGUGCAAUAUUUGAAUUCUCUCUUUUGUAAGCAAUUUUUUUUUUUGAUUAGCCAUCCAAACUAUGAACCUGUGGUUUGGCUGCAUUGCUUAUUCCAUACUAGAUCAGCAACCUGACAUCUCUCAAGCCCAGACAACCGUGCAUUGUAACUUUUAGUUACUGAGUACUGUCCAAUAGGUGUAAAUGUGAAUGUGUCAUUCUGCUACCACUGUUCCAUUAUAGCCUCAAGUGCAUUUAGUUUUCUCCGGUACCAACUGCUGUCCACUGGAGGGCUAUGGUUCCUAAUACUGUCAUUUUGCUUUAUGUAUAUAUCAUGCACCCACGUCACCAUAGUAGGUCUUUUUUCUCAUUUAGCUGCCAGAGUAAUUUCCUAAGGUCUGCGUACACAUUACCCUUCCCAGACCCCACGUGUGGGAUUGCACUCGGUUUUUUGUUGUUGUUGUUGUUGUUAUUGUUGUUACUUACAUUUGAUUAUCCAGUUGGGGCCUUGUUUUGACCACGUUACUUAUGUCAGAUACUCUUUAGAGGCUUUUGUAGACGCAAAUGCACCUGAUGUUAGUCGUACUAAUUUAUAUAGUGGCCUUGUCGGCCCUUAUAUGCAUAUCAUUUUCGGUUGGUUAUGAGCUGAUAUCAUAUGUUACGGCCUUGUCGGCCUGGAUGUUUCUAUAUACGUUUUGGUACAUGAUUUACUGGUUAGUAUGUUCAGUCAAAUUAGGCACCAGGUGCUAGUCGUGCCUCCCCAGGUUUGGGGCGUGACAGAACCAAAGCCCUGGGAGCCUGUCAUCUCUUCCGGUGGUAUGUUAGCUACUGGUCUAUAAUCUAACUGGCACAUUUUGUGGCCAUCUUAAUACCCUUGGCGUUUGUUCUUGGUGAACACGGGAAACUUGUCUUGUAAAAGGAGUCUGAGUUUCACUGUUUAUAGAAGUUGAGUUUCACUGUUUAUAGAAGUUGAAAGGGGUCUGGUGUAAUUCCUCAACUAUAACAUUCUCCUGUGCUUGCGAUGUAAUUCCUCAACUAUGACAUUCUCAUGUGCUUGCGGCACCGCUGCCCUGUAUAUAAUAAGUAAUAUGAGUAGCUUUUAUUUGGUCUAUAGAACAAUUAGUCUUUGAUUUGUUCUAGAGUAGGAUGUUGGACUAUAGUUAGAUGGUACCUUUCGACUUCCUUUCUCCUGUGCUUGCAAUUCCACUUCAAUUUAUAGCUAGCUUGUAUCUUCUAGGCUAAGCUUACAGGUGAAGAUUUCAAAUUAACAGUUAAGAUCAACAGUUAUCCAACUCUGACUUCUGUGUCCAUAUAUUCAUGGUGUGCUUGAAAGACUAUUUGAUGGCAGAACUAUUAUUGUUCUAGGUCGUCUAAGGUAUGGAAGGACCUCAAAGACGAAUUGUUUGUAUGCUUUGCCUUGAUAUCCUUUUUGUUUCUCUAUUUUGGGCGGGGUGGUGUGGUGGGGGGCACAUAUAAAUGUUGAUACCUCGUUCUUUAUGGUGUAUGACGAUAGGGUAUUGAACAGUUAUGUUUAUCUGAUAUAAGCUAAGUUGGAAAAGUAAGCUUGUAUUUACCUAAAUUGAACAAACUUUUGCAUUCAAAAGUAGCACAGUUUCCAACUCUGGAAACACUAGCCGUUGUUGAUUGGCUGAUAAUUGUACAAGCUUCGCUUCAUUAGUUAUAGGAUUUUUUCAGUUGGUGGUAAGUUGCAUAUCUGUGUCCUACAGCAGUGGAUAACAUUUUGGGGAUCGACACUGUAUUGAAAAAUGUGUAAGCUCCUUUUUUCUCAACUCCCCAUGGUAGUUCGUUCUUUUUCCCUUUAUCCUCCCUACUGUAAUUUGGGAAAAAGGAUAAGAAGGUUGGAGGUUGGAAUGCAAAAUGUCAAAGCCCUUCCACUGGUGCCUUCCUUCCUCUAUGUUUAUUCUAUCUUUUAUUUUUUGGACCCUUACAUGUCUACCCAGCAGCUGAUAAAAUUUACAGGUCACUGCCUUAGAGUUUUCAAUUUACAAACAGUCCCUUUACAUUAUUACACCAAUUGGUUGAUAAGCCUACUGGAACGACGCUGCCAACAGUAGUGAAUUGGAUGAAGAAUGGCUUUGAAUCCCUCCUUUCCUCACUAUCCACGUCCAUGUCCCGCUCUUCUCAUACAGAAUUUUAUGGUUUCGUUGUUUCUUGCAACCCCUUCACUCUCUUUGCUUUUCUUCUAUUCUCUAGAAUGUGGUUUUUGUUGAUUUGGUGAGUAGACAUGGGGAGCAUUGGGAGUGGAUCAUCUCACAGAAAUGCUUGUUCACUAUAAUCAGGUGGUAACUGUAGGAACAUUGACUACUCUGGUUAGGGCUAUUUGGCACUGCUACCUAGAUUCCACUUGUGUGAUUAUAUUGAAUAUAUUUUUGUAUUUAUUUAGUGCUAUCUGCAUUUUCUUA